UGUGGUGGAGAGGAGACAGGGAAGCCAAGGAGCAAUGGGCAGUGGCUCCUGAAGCCAGGAGCUGUCACCACAGUGGGGCACUUUUAACUUGAGGCACCAAGUCCCACUUCUGAGGGCGCUUACACCCACCUAACACCACGUGGGUUGGUCUGCAGGUCUGGGUACCGUGGUCACUCCACUGGAUCUCCGCCCCAGGAGGUCGACAUUUCCCAGCCCAGCCACAAGCUGAAGUUCCAGAGCUGAGACAAGGAAGAUGAGGGAAGGCAGCUGGGAGAGGCCUGCGACUGAGAGGCCCUCCUUACUCAUCCCUACCCCAGCCCCUCUCACUCACCCCUACUGGAAGCCUCUUCACUAAGCCUACAGCGCCUCCCCAUUCUUGGUGCCCACAGAGUCCAGAGUCCUCGGAGGCUCUCAGUCACUACUGUGAUCCCAAGAAGGCACUGAGAUGUCACCACAAGGAGCUGCCCAGCCCUGGCCAUCACCCCUGGGGAAACAGGCUGGAACUGGACUCCUGCAAGUCACUAAUUCCCUGACUCAAGAUCUUUUGGACUAGAUUGAGCAUCCAGCCUGUGCUAGCCCUUGAGGCCAGGGAGGCUUUAACGAUGUGAACACUGCACAGGCCUUCCAGAACAUGCCUCCAGCAGAACCCCAGCAGCACAUCCAGCAGCUCUGCCCGACCGGGUCUGGAUGUGGACCAAUCAGCUGCAGCCAAGAGGCAGGAUCAGCGAUUCAGCCCUGUGGACAGAGGGACCAGAGCCUUUGGAUCCUCCUCUGCUUCCUGGUCCUCCUCCAGGCCCUGCUUAAUUAAAGCUGGUUCUCCUCUCU